GAUGAACGCUAGCGGCAGGCUUAACACAUGCAAGUCGAGGGGUAUAGUUCUUCGGAACUAGAGACCGGCGCACGGGUGCGUAACGCGUAUGUAAUCUACCUUUUACAGGGGGAUAGCCCAGAGAAAUUUGGAUUAAUACCCCAUAGUAUGUUGCAGUGGCAUCACUAUAACAUUAAAGUUCCAACGGUAAAAGAUGAGCAUGCGUCCCAUUAGCUAGAUGGUAAGGUAACGGCUUACCAUGGCUACGAUG
rnacentral:rRNA from 1 species